rnacentral:rRNA from 1 species
UACAGAGGUCUCGAGCGUUGUUCGGAUUCAUUGGGCGUAAAGGGUGCGUAGGUGGCGCGACUAUAUCGGGUGUGAAAUCCUGAGGCUUAACCUCGGAACUGCAUUCGAUACUGCGGUGCUUGAGGACUGGAGAGGAGACUGGAAUUCAUGGUGUAGCAGUGAAAUGCGUAGAGAUCAUGAGGAAGACCAGUGGCGAAGGCGGGUCUCUGGACAGUUCCUGACACUGAGGCACGAAGGCCAGGGGAGCAAACGGG